CGAACUUUGAACACGCGGGUAGAAAUAAAUGAUUCCUUCUUCGUACGCUUGUUCAGAAGUUUGAGGUUGAGUUUAAGAUUAGUUUGAAGAGAUAUCUUGGAGACAAAUUUAUGACAAAGGAUCUUGAAAUGAAUUAAAUGUUUAAUUUUCGAAAUAAAUUAAGAAAUAUUUAAGAUUAAUUUUAAUCGAUUUAAAAAUUGAUGCUAAAAAGGAAAAGUCCCUAGAAAGUAGACUCUAAACUGCGUCCAUCUCAUCCUAUAAAUAAUUCAGUUUGGAUUAUUCUGUUACGUGUGCGAAAAAAAAA